CCAACAGCUACCCUGUUGGCUAAAUGCCUGACAUCCAGCAUGGGACCUCUACUGCCAGCAUCCACUUACUGGCAUCACAGGGGCUUGACUGAGAUCUGAAACUUGAGUGUGUUCUCUAUUUUAGCUAUUAAUACUUUGACCUUUGCUAGACCCAACCUGCUCUCUUCCAUAAUGAGCUGUUGGAGUUGUGGGUGUAGAUUCCCUGGAGUCCUUCCCCCUAGGGGAUCCUGGACUUUAGGACUUACACUGUAGAUGUAAAAAUAAAAAGAACUCUCCUUUAUGGGGCCCUUUGCAUGUGUCAGGUCUUGAGCUAAGCAGUUUAUAACUAUUAUAACACAAUCUUAAUCUUAACUAAAACCCCACAAGGAGGGUGCAGCUCUUUGCAUUUUGCAGUUGAGGAAACUGAGAAGCAGAUAGUUUGCAUAAUGGCUAAUUGCUUUUGGCUUUUUAAAAAUGCAUUCUAAGGAAGGUGCCAAGUUUCUGGGUGGGAACUCAAGCUAAGGGACCAGUAAUGAUCUUAAAUUUCAAUGUUAGUCCUUCGUGUCAUCACUGGCCUAGCUCCAGCUCCAAUCGUGCAGCUUUGCUGGGAUUUUCAAGUUUUCUUCAUCAGGAUGAGAUCUAUUCAAAUGUAGGAGAGAGCUUCAGGUCACAUGGUCCAGCCCUGGAUAUCCAAGCUGUCUUGAAUUCGGUUUGGGGUCAAGACUACAGCCCAUGGGAUGGGUGCAAGUCCAGGCUCCACUCACAUCAUGAACCUGGAAGACUAUCAGAUGUCCUCAGAGAUAUGAAGGUUACACCAGAAUCAGCAGAGAUCAGGCAAAGGGGAAGCAAAGCGUAUUCUCAAGAGCUCCUGGAAAUAAUUACCAUUCUCUUAAUAAUAAAUGAAUAGGCUGCAGUCCCAGAACACAUUGAGAACAAAGCAAAACAUGUCAAUACAAAAUCCAGCAAAUAAAACAAUCAAUUUAAAAUAGAUUUCUCUAAAUGGUUUGCCUGCUCAGGCUAAAUGCCCC
ensembl:lncRNA